UAAGAUGGACGCUUGCCUUUGGGGAG
rnacentral:piRNA from 1 species